CAGUAGCCGCGGGAAUACGUAGGUCCCGAGCGUUGUCCGGAUUUAUUGGGCGUAAAGCGAGCGCAGGCGGUCGGAUGAGUCUGAAGUUAAAGGCUGUGGCUUAACCAUAGUACGCUUUGGAAACUGUUUAACUUGAGUGCAAGAGGGGAGAGUGGAAUUCCAUGUGUAGCGGUGAAAUGCGUAGAUAUAUGGAGGAACACCGGUGGCGAAAGCGGCUCUCUGGCUUGUAACUGACGCUGAGGCUCGAAAGCGUGGGGAGCAAACAGGAUUAGAUACCCGCGUAGUCCCUGUCUUUAUACAC
rnacentral:rRNA from 1 species